rnacentral:rRNA from 1 species
CCUACGGGAGGCAGCAGUCGAGAAUCAUUCACAAUGGGGGAAACCCUGAUGGUGCGACGCCGCGUGGGGGAAUGAAGGUCUUCGGAUUGUAAACCCCUGUCAUGUGGGAGCAAAUUAAAAAGAUAGUACCACAAGAGGAAGAGACGGCUAACUCUGUGCCAGCAGCCGCGGUAAUACAGAGGUCUCAAGCGUUGUUCGGAAUCACUGGGCGUAAAGGGUGCGUAGGCUGUUUCGUAAGUCGUGUGUGAAAGGCGCGGGCUCAACCCGCGGACGGCACAUGAGACUGCGAGACUAGAGUAAUGGAGGGGGAACCGGAAUUCUCGGUGUAGCAGUGAAAUGCGUAGAUAUCGAGAGGAACACUCGUGGCGAAGGCGGGUUCCUGGACAUUAACUGACACUGAGGCACGAAGGCCAGGGGAGCGAAAGGGAUUAGAUACCCUGGUAGUC